CGAGGACACGCUGGCGGCGUGGAUUAGGCAUGCAAGUCGAACGGUAUCAUCCUUCGGGGGUGAGAGAGUGGCGAACUGGUGAGUAACACGUAGGUUAUCUACCCUCAAGACGGGGACAACCCAGGGAAACUUGGGCUAAUACCGGAUGUGAGCAACUUUUAGUUGUUUGAAAGGUGGCGUAAGCUGUCGCUUGGGGAUGAGCCUGCGUCCUAUUAGUUAGUUGGUGAGGUAACGGCUCACCUAGGCAAUGAUAGGUAGGCGGCCUUAACGGGUGGUCGCCCACACUGGGAUUGAGAUACGGCCCAGACUCCUACGGGAGGCAGCAGUCGAGAAUAGUCUACAAUGGUCGGAAGACUGAUAGUGCGACGCCGCGUGAACGAUGAAUCCCUUCGGGGUGUAAAGUUCUUUUAUAUGUGAGCAGUGCUUCUUAUAUUAACAGUAUGGGGAGAGAGAUAUUAGCAUAUGAAUAAGCAACGGCUAACUCCGUG
rnacentral:rRNA from 1 species